rfam:Rhizopogon vinicolor AM-OR11-026 unplaced genomic scaffold K503scaffold_170, whole genome shotgun sequence.
GGCGUUAUAGUGUAGUGGUUAUCACUCGGGAUUUUGACUUGCGAUUUUCCCGAAACCCAGGUUCGAACCCUGGUAACGCCU